AGCUCCAAUAGCGUAUAUUAAAGUUGUUGCAGUUAAAAAGCUCGUAGUCGGAACUCGGGCUGGGGGUCUGUGCCCAGCACUGCUGCGUGCGCAGGGCCCCGGUCUUCCUUCUGGCUUUGCGUGGGGGUCCUUUGUUGGGCUGCUGCGUGGAGGUCAGGACGUUUACUGUGAAAAAAUUAGAGUGUUUAAAGCAGGCGAUUGCUGUGAAUACAUGAGCAUGGAAUAAUAGAAUAGGACUUGAGUUCUAUCUGUUGGUCGUAGAGCUGAAGUAAUGAUUAAUAGGGACAGUUGGGGGCAUUCGUAUUUCAUUGUCAGAGGUGAAAUUCUUGGAUUUAUGAAAGACGAACCGCUGCGAAAGCGUCUGCCAAGGAUGUUUUCAUUGAUCAAGAACGAAAGUACG
rnacentral:rRNA from 1 species